GUUUCCAAGCACAAGUUGAAAGCAGAGUUCCAAAACACAUCAUACUUAUACUCUUUAACAUAUUUGAGAUGUUCUAACAUACAUACCAUAUUGUAUCUAAGGUUUCAUCUAGUCUAUAAUGUAUUAUUCCAAUGCAAAAUAACAGUGUCACAGUACAGAUGGAUCUUGAGGGGACAAGAAAUGCCAGCAAACUUUAGGCUUUUUCAUAUCUGAAAUUAUAUGAAUGGUACAGCUUUUCUGCAGGCCAUGAUCUAGCCACCAGCACAAUGGACUACCCAGGACUUAUUCCCAGUUCUGUCACAGUCAUCACAGGACUUCAGCUAAAGCUCUUUGCACUUUCUGUUGUGGUAUAAUUAAGUGUAGAAAUAAAAGCAAAACUUAAGUGAUUGAAA